rnacentral:rRNA from 1 species
GACGAACGCUGGCGGCGUGCUUAACACAUGCAAGUCGAACGCUGAAGCUCAGCUUGCUGGGUGGAUGAGUGGCGAACGGGUGAGUAACACGUGAGUAACCUGCCCUCUUCUUUGGGAUAACGCCCGGAAACGGGUGCUAAUACUGGAUAUUCACUGAUUCUCGCAUGGGGGUUGGUGGAAAGGUUUUUUCUGGUGGGGGAUGGGCUCGCGGCCUAUCAGCUUGUUGGUGGGGUGAUGGCCUACCAAGGCUUUGACGGGUAGCCGGCCUGAGAGGGUGACCGGUCACAUUGGGACUGGGAUACGGCCCAGACUCCUACGGGAGGCAGCAGUGGGGAAUAUUGCACAAUGGGCGAAAGCCUGAUGCAGCGACGAGGCGUGAGGGAUGGAGGCCUUCGGGUUGUAAACCUCUUUCGCUCAUGGUCAAGCCGCAGCGUUGGGUUGUGGUGAGGGUAGUGGGUAAAGAAGCGCCGGCUAACUACGUG